rnacentral:rRNA from 1 species
UUUGGAAUUUUGGACAAUGGACGAAAGUCUGAUCCAGCGACGCCGCGUGCACGAAGAAGGCCUUCGGGUUGUAAAGUGCUUUUGCAGGGAACGAAUUUUUGACGGUACCCUGAGAAUAAGAGGUUGCUAACUCUGUGCCAGCAGCAGCGGUAAUACAGAGACCUCAAGCGUUAUCCGGAAUCAUUGGGCGUAAAGCGUACCGAUAGGUGGUUUAUUAAGUUUUGGGUAAAAGCCAGAAGCUCAACUUCUGCGUUUGCUCAAGAUACUGAUAGACUAGAGGGACAAAGAGGUUGCUGGAACGAACGGUGUAGUAGUGAAAUGCGUUGAUAUCGUUCGGAACACCGAAAGCGAAGGCAGGCAACUGGGUGUCACCUGACACUGCUAGGACGAAAGCGUGGGGAGCGAAUGGGAUUAGAUACCCCCGUAGUCC